UUACGGCCACAUCGCGUUGAAACACCGGUUCUCGUACGAUCACUGAAGUUAAGCAACGGUCAGCCUGCUCACUACCAAGAUGGGUGAACGCUUGGGAAUAUCAGGCGC